CGGGAGUAACAACCUCGGAAACAGAUGCUAAUAACCGGAUAACAACAGAUGAUGCCUAUCAACUGUUUAAAAGAUGGUUCUGCUAUCACUCUUGGAUGGACCUGCGGUGCAUUAGCUAGUUGGUAGGGUAACGGCCUACCAAGGCGAUGAUGCAUAGCCGAGUUGAGAGACUGAUCGGCCACAUUGGGACUGAGACACGGCCCAAACUCCUACGGGAGGCAGCAGUA
rnacentral:rRNA from 1 species